GACGAACGCUGGCGGCGUGCUUAACACAUGCAAGUCGAACGGAAAGGCCCUGCUUGCAGGGUCCUCGAGUGGCGAACGGGUGAGUAACACGUGGGUGAUCUGCCCUGCACUUCGGGAUAAGCCUGGGAAACUGGGUCUAAUACCGGAUAGGAGCCAUUUUUAGUGUGAUGGUUGGAAAGUUUUUUCGGUGUAGGAUGAGCUCGCGGCCUAUCAGCUUGUUGGUGGGGUAAUGGCCUACCAAGGCGGCGACGGGUAGCCGGCCUGAGAGGGUGGACGGCCACAUUGGGACUGAGAUACGGCCCAGACUCCUACGGGAGGCAGCAGUGGGGAAUAUUGCACAAUGGGCGCAAGCCUGAUGCAGCGACGCCGCGUGGGGGAUGACGGCCUUCGGGUUGUAAACUCCUUUCGCUAGGGACGAAGCUCUUGUGACGGUACCUAGAUAAGAAGCACCGGCUAACUACGUG
rnacentral:rRNA from 1 species